CGCCAGACUCCUACGGGAGGCAGCAGUGGGGAAUAUUGCACAAUGGGGGAAACCCUGAUGCAGCGACGCCGCGUGAGCGAUGAAGUAUUUCGGUAUGUAAAGCUCUAUCAGCAGGGAAGAAGAUGACGGUACCUGACUAAGAAGCCCCGGCUAACUACGUGCCAGCAGCCGCGGUAAUACGUAGGGGGCAAGCGUUAUCCGGAUUUACUGGGUGUAAAGGGAGCGUAGACGGCGAUGCAAGCCAGAUGUGAAAGCCCGGGGCUCAACCCCGGGACUGCAUUUGGAACUGUGUGGCUGGAGUGUCGGAGAGGCAGGCGGAAUUCCUAGUGUAGCGGUGAAAUGCGUAGAUAUUAGGAGGAACACCAGUGGCGAAGGCGGCCUGCUGGACGAUGACUGACGUUGAGGCUCGAAAGCGUGGGGAGCAAACAGGAUUAGAUACCCGCGUAU
rnacentral:rRNA from 1 species